AUAUUUUUGGAGUCCUUUUCUUGUUAUGUUUGGUAGUAGUUUUACCACAGAGCGGUGGGGCAUACUCGGCGUCAACUGGGAGAUUUGGCGACCAAAUUAAGGUGUGGUAUACUACUUUUUCUUUUAUACUAGUGACCCAACUUUUGGCCUAGAACUGUCGCAUGCAACCUGCUUACAACUUGAGUUGUACUGUGUAAGUCAAGCAUACAACUCACCUACGACAAUGAAAUUCAAUGUGGCUUUCACCUAUCUCUGUGCAUGACUCGAUUUAUUUUUUAUUUAUUUAGCUUCGCCUAUAAUUACACAAUCAAACAACACGUACACACAACCAUUUCUGUCCAACCCGAAAACGAGCAAACUUCAGCGCCCCUGUCUAUGUUUCAACAUGAUAGUAAAACAAAAACAUACACCCUUGACCGCUAACCUAGGACGGUUUAAUUUUACAAUUAUAUUCAUUUUAGAAUAGCUUGAUUUUUAUGAGCCCAACAUGACUUGGCAUAGACCUAGACAAAACAUAUCGAAACGCAGCAAAUACGCCCAGCCUCCACGUUUCAAGGUUGGACAAAAAGGUGACAACAACAAAAAGGCGGGGUCACCACAACAGCUUAAAACCAAUUACUGUGGGCCCUUGAUCUUCUAGUUGUGAUUUUUCAGCAUGCAGUAACACUGGAGCUAUACAAGAGAGACUUUAUCUGUCACUAUUUCUUAGUUGAAAAGAAUGUUCAACAGCCAGUUCCAUUCUGGCCAUGCAGGAAUGAGAGGAAAGCCGUUCAAAUAUCAAUAUCAAGUUUUGGAAGAGAAAGAAAAUGAAGUCGUUUAACGAGAGUCUUAUGACGUGCACAGAAUUGUGAUAUAGCCAGAAUGAAAACUUGUGUCUAUGAAAUAGCGGAUUAAAAAUUUAUAGGAAUUGUUGAUGAGCAUGGAGGAAAGCCUGGGUCCCAGUUUGAAUAUGAACUAUGAUUAUUUGAUUAUGCAAAAAUGUUAAAAUUGAUAUAGCAUAGUUAUAAUUAUGAAUAAAAAUAC